GCCGCUGUAGCUCAACGGCAGAGCAGCACUUUCGUAAAGUGAAGGUUGGUGGUUCAAUUCCACUUAGCGGCUCCA
rnacentral:tRNA from 1 species